AGUUAGGGUGUGUUUGGUUUGUACUAUGAAAAAUUACUAGUAAUAAAAAAAUAUACGAGAAUCGUAUUCAUAUUCAUCCUAUUACUAAGAAUGUAGCAUUCCUGUGUUUGGUUCGCACGGUCAUAUUAUUUAGUCAUAUUAUUUAAAUUUACCAAAAAAUAUAUAAUUAAUUUAUUUAUUUCUUUAAUUAAUUUUUGAUAAUGCUAUUAAAAAUUUAAUAUGUUUAGAAAAAAGAAAGAGAGAACAUAGGUUAGAGAGUGAGAGCAUAAUUAAAGCAUCUGAAACGUUAAUCAACCAUUCCUCUUAGGGUGCGUUUGGUUCGCACUAUGAAAUAUUACUAGCAAUAAAAAGAUAUCUGAGAAUCUUAUUUCUAUUCAUCAUAUUACUAAGAAUGUGGCAUUUCUGUGUUUGGUUCGCACGGUCAUAUUAUUUAAUCAUGUUAUUUAAAUUUACCAAAAAUAUACAAUUAAUUUAUUUAUUUUUUUAAUUAAUUUUUGAUAAUGCUAUUAAAAUUUCAACAUGUUUAGAAAAAAGGAAAAGCGAACAUAGGUUAGAGAGUGAGAGCAUAAUUAAAAAAAUAGUAAGAGAAAUAGAGUCGAGGUUAAAAGAAGUGAGAGAUUUGAGAUUUUAGAAAAAGAGGGGGCGAGAGAGCUUAGUUUAGAGAGAGAAAAAAAAGUUUAAGUUUAGAAAAAAAAAGAAGAUAAGUUUAAAGAGAGAUAUGAGAUUAGAGUGUAAAGAAAAAUAAUACCAACUAGCCGGUAGGUAAGAAGAAAAAAAGAGAUUAGACAUAUUAUGAUUACCCUAAUCCUUAAUCCAUUAAUAUGAGGAUACCCACCCUUCCUCGAGGGAAUGAGAUUAGUACUUUGGGAUGAAUAUCAUUCCGAAGUAAAUCCAAUAUUACCAACUAGAUUAUUUAGUGCGUUUAACCAAACACCGUUAUAUUUUUUUAUUUCUAUUGGAUUACUAGGAACCUUAAAAAAAUAGCACGAACCAAACGCACCCUUAAAGAAUUGUUCAUAGAAAACUGCCUGAACAUCUAAAAGUUGAU
rnacentral:lncRNA from 1 species